UGGGGAAUAUUGCACAAUGGGCGAAAGCCUGAUGCAGCGACGCCGCGUGAGGGAUGACGGCCUUCGGGUUGUAAACCUCUUUCAGCAGGGAAGAAGCGAAAGUGACGGUACCUGCAGAAGAAGCGCCGGCUAACUACGUGCCAGCAGCCGCGGUAAUACGUAGGGCGCAAGCGUUGUCCGGAAUUAUUGGGCGUAAAGAGCUCGUAGGCGGCUUGUCACGUCGGUUGUGAAAGCCCGGGGCUUAACCCCGGGUCUGCAGUCGAUACGGGCAGGCUAGAGUGUGGUAGGGGAGAUCGGAAUUCCUGGUGUAGCGGUGAAAUGCGCAGAUAUCAGGAGGAACACCGGUGGCGAAGGCGGAUCUCUGGGCCAUUACUGACGCUGAGGAGCGAAAGCGUGGGGAGCGAACAGGAUUAGAUACCCUGGUAGUCCACGCCGUAAACGGUGGGCACUAGGUGUUGGCGACAUUCCACGUCGUCGGUGCCGCAGCUAACGCAUUAAGUGCCCCGCCUGGGGAGUACGGCCGCAAGGCUA
rnacentral:rRNA from 1 species